GUUAAGUGGCGCUGCAGUCGCAAACUAAUCUUUGUUUAUAGCGGUUACGGUAUAUUUUAUGAUUGAAAAAGCCAACGGAAAAUUUAAUAUUUUUCAAGUUAAAAAAAUACUUGAAAAGUAUUGAAAUUUGCAGUGGAUUAUAUUCUGCAAGCGAGUUCGUUAGUAUUACUGAUUGAAUGUGACAUUUUUGAUUUUGCUACUCGUAUGUAUUCUCUUUUGUUAUAUACAUACUAUUUUUUGUUUCAUAUUUUUAAAAUGGAGUUUGUUUUGUAUAUAUUUAGAGGCAAUGCAAGUAUUGAAAGUGUCAGCUGUAAGUCUAAAGAGAACAGUCAUAAAUUAUUACAAUACGCUGAAGGAAUUAUAACUUUACGGAAUUUAAAUGCAAUGUGAAAUGCAAAACGACAAUUUCAGCGCAGCUCAUUAAGGUUUUUGGUGGCCGAAGAGUUGGUAAACUAGUAAUAGGUAUUAAGAAGUAUGGUCAAUGACCAGAGUCAGCUUCAUGACAAUAAGUAGAAAGUAGAAAAAACAAGAUACAAGGUUGCCGGAGACCAGGAAGAAGCCGAACCUCCUAGUUAAAAAAUCUAAGGCAGUGAUUCGGAAUCACAAGAAGCACUAGAUCCUUUUUCAGGGUGGCGGUGGACAAGGUGAAGAUCGCCAUGAUGAUCGCCAGCCUCCAGUAGGAAGCACCUUAAG